rnacentral:rRNA from 1 species
AGUACUCGAGUGGCGAACGGGUGAGUAACACGUGGGUAAUCCGCCCUGCACUCUGGGAUAAGCCUGGGAAACUGGGUCUAAUACUGGAUAUGACCUUUCUCCUUAUGGGGUUUGGUGGAAAGUUUUUCGGUGUAGGAUGAGCCCGCGGCCUAUCAGCUUGUUGGUGGGGUGAUGGCCUACCAAGGCGACGACGGGUAGCCGGCCUGAGAGGGUGAUCGGCCACAUUGGGACUGAGAUACGGCCCAG